UACAGAGGGUGCGAGCGUUGUUCGGAAUCAUUGGGCGUAAAGCGCUUGUAGGCGGCCUGUCAAGUCGCGUGUGAAAUCCCUUGGCUUAACCAAGGAAGUGCGCGCGAAACUGGCGGGCUUGAGUGCCGGAGAGGGUCGCGGAAUUCCCGGUGUAGAGGUGAAAUUCGUAGAUAUCGGGAGGAACACCAGUGGCGAAGGCGGCGACCUGGACGGACACUGACGGCUGAGACGCGAAAGCGUGGGGAGCAAACAGGG
rnacentral:rRNA from 1 species